rnacentral:misc_RNA from 1 species
UUAAGUUCAGCGGGUAUCCCUACCUGAUCCGAGGUCACACUUGGGGUGCGUCUUGAUGGACGCCCGUGCUAGAGGGUUGCGAGACGCGAAUCUGCUGCGCUCGGAGCCAAUACACAGGCCGCCAAUACUUUUGAGGCGAGUCCGCGCCCGAGGCGGGACAAGGCGCCCAACACCAAGCAGUGCUUGAGCCUUUUUAAAUA